rnacentral:tRNA from 2 species
AGUCUUAUAUUCAUUUAUGAUAUUAGAAUGCAAUUCUGAAGGAGUAUUAAGAAUAAUACUAAGGCUU